GAUAUUUAAUUUUAUUAAUAAUUAUUUGUUUAUAUUAAAUUAUUUUAAUAAAAUAAAUUAUUUUAUUGGGGUGAUAAAAAAACAUAAAUAACUUUUUUUAAAUUUAUUUCAUAUAUAAGUGUAUAACUGAUCCAAUAUUAUUGAUUAAAA
rnacentral:rRNA from 1 species